UUAUGAAUGAUCUUCCAGCGAACCUGGUUCAUAUCGUUUUUAUGACGAUAUGAACCAGGUUCGCUGGAAGAUCAUCUGA
rnacentral:pre_miRNA from 1 species